AACGAACGCUGGCGGCAGGCUUAACACAUGCAAGUCGAACGGGAUUAUCUAGCUUGCUAGAUAUGAGAGUGGCGCACGGGUGAGUAACGCGUAGGGAUCUACCCUAGAGUGGGGGAUAACAGUUGGAAACGACUGCUAAUACCGCAUAAUCUCUGAGGAGGAAAGCUUUAGUGCUUUAGGAUGAACCUGCGUUAGAUUAGUUAGUUGGUGGGGUAAUGGCCUACCAAGGCGACGAUCUAUAGCUGGUCUGAGAGGAUGAUCAGCCACACUGGGACUGAGACACGGCCCAGACUCCUACGGGAGGCAGCAGUGAGGAAUAUUGGACAAUGGGGGCAACCCUGAUCCAGCCAUGUCGCGUGAGUGAAGAAGGCC
rnacentral:rRNA from 1 species